rnacentral:misc_RNA from 1 species
CUUCAGCAGCGCCUGUUGGACGCCCUCCCCAGAUACAUCUCUGCCAAUGUUCAGGCUCUCAGCCUUUUUGGUUAUUUUAUCAACUUCGUCAAUGUAGACAAUCCCUUGCUGAGCUGCUUCGAUAUUGAAGUCAGCAGCCUCGAGUAAUUUGUAUAAUACGGAUUCCACAUCCUCUCCAACAUAACCAGCCUGUGUUAAAGUUGUUGCGUCCGCAAUUACAAAAGGGACAUUGAUGAGACGAGCAAGUGUCUUGGCAAGUAAUGUUUUCCCUGUCCUGAGCCAGUGGGGCCCAUCAGCAAAACAUUGCUCUUCUCUAAUUCGACCGAAUCAUUAUCAAUAUUUUCCAGCUCAUCUCUAACUUUACGAGAAUCUGACUUUUUAUUCAAAGAGGAGUGGUAUAUUCUUUUAUAAUGGUUGUAAACUGCAACAGAAAGCACCUUCUUGGCUCUCUCUUGCCCAACAACAAACUGAUCAAGGCCUUUACAUAUCUCCUUUGGUGUAAGCAACUCAAUCCCCA